UACAGAGGGUGCAAGCGUUGUUCGGAAUUAUUGGGCGUAAAGGGCGCGUAGGCGGUUGCCACAAGUCACCUGUGAAAUCUCCGGGCUUAACUCGGAGCCUGCAGGCGAAACUGUGGUGCUGGAGUGUGGGAGAGGUGCGUUGGAAUUCCGGAUGUAGCGGUGAAAUGCGUAGAUAGUCGGGAGGAACACCUGUGGCGAAAGCGGCGCACUGGACCAUGAACUGACGC
rnacentral:rRNA from 1 species